GGUAGUUGCUCAGGAUGUCAGAUGUCAUUUUUGGUGAGUUCAUGGAUGAUUAUUCAUUUACAGAUGAAUCCUGAGAGGGGAGGUAGGCCUCCUAGUGAUAGUAUGAUUGUUAGGAUUAGUGAGGUAAUUAGUGGGAGUUUGUUUCAUAUAUGAGAUAGCAAUAGUGUGGUUGUAGAUGAAUUGAGU